rnacentral:rRNA from 1 species
GGACGGAAAGACCCUGUGCACCUUUACUGUAAGCAAGUAUUGUGUUCUGAUUAGUGAUACGUAGAGUAGGUGGGAGACUUUGAAGUGAUGGCUUAGGUUGUCAUGGAGUCGCAAUGUGAAACACCACUUUUUGUUAAUUAGGAUUCUAACAAUGAUUCCUCUGAAGCGAGGCGUUGGACAGUGCUUGCGGGUCAGUUUGACUGGGGCGGUUUCCUCCCAAAGAGUAACGGAGGAGCACUAAGGUACCUUCAGCAUGGUUAGUAACCAUGCGUCGAGCGUAUGCGUAGAAGGGUGCUUGACUGUGAGACCUACAAGUCGAGCAGGUACGAAAGUAGGUGCAAAUGAUCCGGUGGUAGAAAGUGGAAUUGCCAUCGCUCAACGGACAAAAGGUACGCCAGGGAUAACAGGCUGAUCGCGCCCAAGAGUUCAUAUCGACGGCG